GACGAACGCUGGCGGCGUGCUUAACACAUGCAAGUCGAACGGAAAGGCCCUGCUUUUGUGGGGUGCUCGAGUGGCGAACGGGUGAGUAACACGCGAGUAACCUGCCCUUGACUUUGGGAUAACUUCAGGAAACUGGGGCUAAUACAGGAUAGGAGCUCCUGCUGCAUGGGGGGGGUUGGAAAGUUACGGCGGUUGGGGAUGGACUCGCGGCUUAUCAGCUUUUUGGUGAGGUAGUGGCGUACCAAGGCUUUGACGGGAAGCCGGCCUGAGAGGGUGACCGGCCACAUUGGGACUGAGGUACGGCCCGGACUCCUACGUGAGGCAGCAGUGGGGGAUAUUGCACGAUGGGCGGAAGCCUGAUGCAGCAACGCCGCGUGCUGGAUGACGGCCUUCGGGUUGUAAACCGCUUUCGCCUGUGACGAAGCGUGAGUGACGGUAAUUGGUAAAGAAGCACCGGCUAACUACGUG
rnacentral:rRNA from 1 species